GGAGAUGUAGCUUAGAUGAUAGAGCGCUCGCUUUGCAAGCGGGAGGUACGGGGAGCGAUACUCUGCAUUUCCA
rfam:Jatropha curcas cultivar GZQX0401 scaffold907_50, whole genome shotgun sequence.